UACGUAGGGUGCAAGCGUUAAUCGGAAUUACUGGGCGUAAAGCGUGCGCAGGCGGUGAUGUAAGACAGUUGUGAAAUCCCCAAGCUUAACUUGGGAACUGCAUCCGAUACUGGAUGGCUUGAAUCCGGGAGAGGGAUGCAGAAUUCCAGGUGUAGCGGUGAAAUGCGUAGAUAUCUGGAGGAAUACCGGUGGCGAAGGCGGCAUCCUGGACCGGCAUUGACGCUGAGGAGCGAAAGCUAGGGGAGCAAACGGG
rnacentral:rRNA from 1 species